rnacentral:rRNA from 1 species
CUCAAGGAAGAUAAUGACGGUACUUGAGGAGGAAGCCCCGGCUAACUACGUGCCAGCAGCCGCGGUAAUACGUAGGGGGCUAGCGUUAUCCGGAUUUACUGGGCGUAAAGGGUGCGUAGGCGGUCUUUCAAGUCAGGAGUGAAAGGCUACGGCGCAACCGUAGUAAGCUCUUGAAACUGGGAGACUUGAGUGCAGGAGAGGAGAGUGGAAUUCCUAGUGUAGCGGUGAAAUGCGUAGAUAUUAGGAGGAACACCAGUUGCGAAGGCGGCGCUCUGGACUGUAACUGACGCUGAGGC